UGGGGAAUCUUCCGCAAUGGGCGCAAGCCUGACGGAGCAACGCCGCGUGAGUGAAGAAGGUCUUCGGAUCGUAAAGCUCUGUUUAUGGGGACGAAUGUGCCUAAUGCGAAUAGUAUUAGGUAAUGACGGUACCCAUCGAGGAAGCCACGGCUAACUACGUGCCAGCAGCCGCGGUAAUACGUAGGUGGCGAGCGUUGUCCGGAAUCAUUGGGCGAAAAGGGAGCGCAGGCGGGCAUGUAAGUCUUUCUUAAAAGUGCGGGGCUCAACCCCAGGAUGGGAAAGAAACUAUGUGUCUUGAGUACAGGAGAGGAAGGCAGAAUUCCCAGUGUAGCGGUGAAAUGCGUAGAUAUUGAGAGGAACACCAGUGGAGAAGGCGGCUUUCUGGACUGCAACUGACGCUGAGGCUCGAAAGCCAGGGGAGCGAACGGG
rnacentral:rRNA from 1 species